GAGAGUUUCACCAAGAUCCAGAUUCAGAUUCAUCUGGUGAUGACGACUCGGAAACAGACUACCAUUGAUUUUUUUUUUUUUAAAGAAAUACCGAAGAAAUUCUGAGGAAAACUUGAUAUACUCGAUCGAUCGAUCACAUUUUUUUUUUUUUAAAGAAAUUCCGAGGAAUUUGUUUUUCCUCAGAAUUUCCUCGGAAUAUUCUGAGGCUUU
rnacentral:lncRNA from 1 species